GGAAAAGAAACCAACAGGGAUUGCCUUAGUAACGGCGAGUGAAGCGGCAAAAGCUCAAAUUUGAAAUCUGGCACCUUCGGUGUCCGAGUUGUAAUUUGAAGAAGGUAACUUUGGAGUUGGCUCUUGUCUAUGUUCCUUGGAACAGGACGUCACAGAGGGUGAGAAUCCCGUGCGAUGAGAUGCCCAAUUCUAUGUAAAGUGCUUUCGAAGAGUCGAGUUGUUUGGGAAUGCAGCUCUAAGUGGGUGGUAAAUUCCAUCUAAAGCUAAAUAUUGGCGAGAGACCGAUAGCGAACAAGUACAGUGAUGGAAAGAUGAAAAGAACUUUGAAAAGAGAGUGAAAAAGUACGUGAAAUUGUUGAAAGGGAAGGGCUUGAGAUCAGACUUGGUAUUUUGCGAUCCUUUCCUUCUUGGUUGGGUUCCUCGCAGCUUACUGGGCCAGCAUCGGUUUGGAUGGUAGGAUAAUGACUAAGGAAUGUGGCUCUACUUCGGUGGAGUGUUAUAGCCUUGGUUGAUACUGCCUGUCUAGACCGAGGACUGCGUCUUUUGACUAGGAUGUUGGCAUAAUGAUCUUAAGCCACCC
rnacentral:rRNA from 2 species